GGCGCACGGGUGAGUAACGCGUGGGUAACCUGCCCUAGAGUGGGGGAUAACCAGCCGAAAGGCUGACUAAUCCCGCAUACGACCGGCAGACACAAGUCUGCUGGGGAAAGAUGGCCUCUGCUUGCAAGCUAUCGCUCUUGGAUGGGCCUGCGUUGGAUUAGCUAGUUGGUGAGGUAAUGGCUCACCAAGGCUGCGAUCCAUAGCUGGUUUGAGAGGACGACCAGCCACACUGGAACUGAGACACGGUCCAGACUCCUACGGGAGGCAGCAGUGAGGAAUAUUGCGCAAUGGGGGAAACCCUGACGCAGCGACGCCGUGUGAGCGAUGAAGGCCUUCGGGUCGUAAAGCUCUGUCAGAAGGAAAGAAAGGGCCGGAGGAAUAAUACCCUUCGGCAUUGACGGUACCCUCAGAGGAAGCACCGGCUAACUCCGUGCCAGCAGCCGCGGUAAUACGGAGGGUGCAAGUGUUAUUCGGAAUCACUGGGCGUAAAGAGCACGUAGGCGGAUUGGUAAGUCAG
rnacentral:rRNA from 1 species